GAGACGAGAAGAGAGGAGGGGAGGCCUCCUCCGCCGCCGCCAUCUUGGACCGGGCCCGGUCAGCUUCCGCGGAGCCAUCGGCCGACGCCGCUGCCUCCCUUGAGUCCAGACCCCCGUCGUCAGAACAACCCUGGGCCCACUCCCCCUACCCCACUUCCGCUUCGCGCCGUUAUCGCGACAGCGCUCAAAGGUCCGGGGCGCGAGAAAAAGGCGGCGGGCGUUCGCCUCCCCCGCCUGUCGCGAUAGCUCCUCAGCGGCGGCGCCAGCUCCUGUGUGUCCCCAGGAGAGUAUGAAGAGAGCGCGUCCGUAGGGCAGGAAGAUGGCGGACAAGCGCAAACUCCAAGGUGAGAUUGAUCGCUGCCUGAAGAAGGUGUCCGAGGGCGUGGAGCAGUUUGAGGACAUUUGGCAGAAGCUCCACAAUGCAGCCAAUGCGAACCAGAAGGAGAAGUAUGAGGCUGACCUGAAGAAGGAGAUUAAGAAGCUACAAAGGCUGAGGGACCAGAUCAAGACAUGGGUCGCCUCCAAUGAGAUCAAGGACAAGCGGCAGCUCAUAGACAACCGAAAACUCAUCGAGACGCAAAUGGAACGGUUCAAAGUUGUGGAGCGAGAGACCAAGACCAAAGCUUACAGCAAGGAGGGCCUGGGUCUGGCGCAGAAGGUGGACCCUGCCCAGAAGGAGAAGGAAGAGGUUGGCCAGUGGCUCACGAACACCAUCGACACCCUAAACAUGCAGGUGGACCAGUUUGAGAGCGAGGUGGAGUCUCUGUCAGUGCAGACACGCAAGAAGAAGGGUGACAAGGAUCAGAAGCAGGACCGGAUUGAGGGCCUGAAGCGUCACAUCGAGAAGCACCGCUACCACGUGCGCAUGCUGGAGACCAUCCUGCGCAUGCUGGACAACGACUCCAUCCUCGUGGACGCCAUCCGCAAGAUCAAGGAUGACGUCGAGUACUACGUCGACUCCUCUCAGGACCCUGACUUCGAGGAGAAUGAGUUUCUCUACGAUGACCUGGACCUCGAGGACAUUCCACAGGCGCUGGUCGCCACCUCCCCCCCCAGCCACAGCCACAUGGAGGACGAGAUCUUCAAUCAGUCCAGCAGCACGCCCACGUCCACCACCUCCAGCUCUCCCAUCCCGCCCAGCCCAGCCAACUGCACCACGGAGAACUCUGAAGAUGAUAAGAAGAGGGGCCGCUCCACCGACAGUGAGGUCAGCCAGUCUCCAGCCAAAAAUGGCUCCAAGCCUGUCCACAGCAGCCAGCACCCCCAGCCCCCAGCCGUGCCGCCUCCCUACCCCUCGGGGCCCCCACCUGCCACCUCUGCCUUGAGUGCUGCCCCUGGCAGCAAUGGGGCCCCCACCCCGGCAGCACCGCCAAGUGCCCUGGGCCCCAAGGCCAGCCCAGCCCCCAGCACCCCUGCUCCCUACGCCCAGGCUGUGGCCCCGCCCACCCCCGGGCCCAGCCCCGCCCAGCCCCGGCCCCCCAGCGCCCAGCCUGGUGCCGCGAGUGGCAGCGCCGGAGGGGCGGGCGGCAGCAGUAACAGUGGUGCGGGCGGAGGGGCUGGCAAGCAGAACGGCGCCACCAGUUACAGCUCCGUCGUGGCAGACAGCCCCGCAGAGGUGGCCCUCAGCAGCAGCGGGGGCAGCAGCGCCAGCAGCCAGGCCCUGGGCCCCCCUUCAGGCCCGCACAACCCGCCUCCCAGCACUGCGAAGGAGCCUAGUGCAGCCGCCCCAACGGGGGCUGGGGGUGUGGCCCCCGGCUCAGGGAACAACUCUGGGGGCCCCAGCCUCCUGGUGCCGCUGCCCGUGAACCCCCCCAGCUCUCCCACGCCCAGCUUCAGUGAGGCCAAGGCGGCCGGUGCCCUGCUCAACGGGCCCCCGCAGUUCAGCAGCGCCCCCGAGAUCAAGGCCCCCGAGCCCCUGAGCUCCCUGAAGUCCAUGGCGGAGCGGGCAGCCAUCAGCUCGGGCAUCGAGGACCCUGUGCCCGCGUUACACCUGACCGAGCGAGACAUCAUCCUGAGCGGCACCUCGGCGCCCCCUGCCUCAGCCCAGCCAGCCCUGCAGCUGUCGGAGGUGAACAUCCCGCUGUCGCUGGGUGUGUGCCCACUGGGGCCGGUGCCCCUCACCAAGGAGCAACUGUACCAGCAGGUCAUGGAGGAGGCCGCCUGGCACCACAUGCCCCACCCCUCCGACUCUGAGCGCAUCCGUACCUCCCCCGGAACCCCUGCCCGACGCCCCCCUACCACCACCAGAUGCCGCCCCCACACUCGGACACCGUGGAGUUCUACCAGCGCCUGUCCACCGAGACGCUCUUCUUCAUCUUCUACUAUCUGGAGGGCACCAAGGCGCAGUACUUGGCGGCCAAGGCCCUGAAGAAGCAGUCGUGGCGGUUCCACACCAAGUACAUGAUGUGGUUCCAGAGGCACGAGGAGCCCAAGACCAUCACCGACGAGUUCGAGCAGGGCACCUACAUCUACUUUGACUACGAGAAGUGGGGCCAGCGGAAGAAGGAGGGCUUCACCUUCGAGUACCGCUACCUGGAGGACCGGGACCUCCAGUGACACCGGCCCUCCACCCACCUCCCCGCAUGCUGACGCCCCUGCCCAGGUGAGGGCCUCGCCCAGAAGCCGGGGCCCUGGCCAGGCACCCCUCCCCAGGAAGCCGGGAGGGCCCAGAAGGUCCUCUUCCUCAGCCCCACCCUGGGGCCCGGGGUGAGGGCUGCCCCUCCUCCCCUCCCCAGCGAGGGACAUUUUUUGGUAAACCUAUUUUCAUUUUGGAAAAUAUUUAUGAAUAAAUAGUUUUAUAUGA